UGCAGGUGAAAUGUGCUAUCAGACUGAGAAAUUCAAAAGAGUCAACACCAGGGCCAUAUGUAUAUAGUCCUGUCUUUCACGCUGGACUGUAUGUAACUGUAGUAGAUAAAGAUUCAGUCUUGAAAAACAGAUUAUGCCAAUCGUACAAUGAUCCACAUUUUAGAACCUUUGAUGGAAAAUACUAUGAUUACAUGUAAGUCGGAGAAUUUGUAAUGUACAAAAAUGACAUUGGUCCUUAUAGGGUACAUGCAUUAUUUACAAGUUGUGGGUCCGUUUUACCCGGUACUUCAUGCCUUUGUGGAAUAGCAAUACGGAGCAAAGAUUCGUUGUUCGUUCUACGUACAUGUAAGAAGAUUUCAAGGAGUGAAAAAUAUUUGCUCAAACAACCUGUUAUCACACUGACGUCUUGUGAUAAAAAUGAUAUGUCAAUCAUUAACACCAAUAAUAAU